rnacentral:rRNA from 1 species
GACGAACGCUGGCGGCGUGCUUAACACAUGCAAGUCGAACGGAAAGGCCCUGCUUUUGUGGGGUGCUCGAGUGGCGAACGGGUGAGUAACACGUGAGUAACCUGCCCUUGACUUUGGGAUAACUUCAGGAAACUGGGGCUAAUACCGGAUAGGAGCUCCUGCUGCAUGGUGGGGGUUGGAAAGUUUCGGCGGUUGGGGAUGGACUCGCGGCUUAUCAGCUUGUUGGUGGGGUAGUGGCUUACCAAGGCUUUGACGGGUAGCCGGCCUGAGAGGGUGACCGGCCACAUUGGGACUGAGAUACGGCCCAGACUCCUACGGGAGGCAGCAGUGGGGAAUAUUGCACAAUGGGCGGAAGCCUAAUGCAGCAACGCCGCGUGCGGGAUGACGGCCUUCGGGUUGGAAACCGCUUUCGCCUGUGACGAAGCGUGAGUGACGGUAAUGGGUAAAGAAGCACCGGCUAACUACGUGC